rfam:Triticum aestivum genome assembly, contig: Triticum_aestivum_CS42_TGACv1_scaffold_146298_2BS
CAUGUACUCUCUCCGUCCGAAAAUACUUGUCAUCAAAAUGAAUAAAAAAAUAUGUACCUAGUACUAAAAUACGUCUAGAUACAUCUCCUUUUAUCCAUUUCAAUGACAAGUAUUUUCGGACGGAGGGAGUAGGUA